GAAGUCAAAUAGUCCCAAAUUCAGAGAUAUGGCCUAAUACAACAGGCAUCACGGGACACUUAACAAACUGGAGGCAUUAAAGGAGGCAUUUAAAAAAUGAAUAAGGAAACUAAUACAAGUUCGCAGACUUCCUGUUGGAGCUCAAAAUGAGCUGUGUUGUGGACUUCCUUUUUUAAAAGGAGUUAGUGGUUCAUGCUUUCAUAAUGCAGCUUUAUAAAUUUAUCUGAUAAAUAAAAAAUGGCUUAUGUGCUUCUUUCAAUAGUGAGAAGCUGAAGUCCAGUUUUCUAGUUUGCAGCUGCGAUCAUUGUCUCUUCUGUGUUUUUACAGAACUUAAUAUAACUUGAGCUCAGUCCUGUAGUUGCCCAAAGGCUCUGUUCCAUCAGAUGUGCCCGACAGGAGCAGUGGUGCUUGAUUUAUGUCAGAUUUCACUUUCUCUUGGCCCACAAUACCAGGCAUGACUUCAACAUCUUGUGUCCAUAUUUUGCUCAGACUCUGACAUGAGCUUGGGAGAGCUGAUCUGGGCAGCAGAAGGUUACCCAGUCCCUUGCCUAACUUCCAGCUGUGGAUGCUGUACAUCUACAAAGGGCAAUUACACCUUCAACUGAGUGCAUGGAUGAAAGGAAGGAAAAGGCUGCUCAAACUGGCAGGUUCUCCUAACCAUGUGUCCUUCUGGCAGCUGUGGAUGCGAUGGGGAUAGAAGGUAAAACAACAAUUCCAGAGGGGCCUUUCUCAGUCCUUUUCCUGAAUAUACUUAUGAGAACAAUAGAUGAGUAAGGUUGGCAGAAAGACAGAGAAGAAAAGCAAAUUGUUGUAUGCACAGGUAGGAUUGCUCAUGUCCUCGAGACCUUGACCCAAGUCUGUCGGGCUCCUGUCUUGUCUCCCAUCUCAU
rnacentral:lncRNA from 1 species